rnacentral:tRNA from 1 species
UGCCGUCCUAGUAUAAUAGGUAUUAUUAGGGCUUCACUGCCUGAAGAUGUGGGUUCGAGUCCCACGGUCGGAAA